AUUAGAAAAAAAUUGUAAGGCUUCGACAAGAUUUGCUAAUCAUGUAUAGAUUAAUAUGAAGAUUAAGAACAUCACCUAAGCCAAUUAUUGAAAUUGAAAUUUUAGGAGAAAAAUUUAUGUGGGUUUGGCCACCAAUUUAGCAUUAGGAACUUAUUGUUUAGGAAGCUAUGGUGGGUUUCGUAGUGGGACUUAUCCUCUUUAAUGCAUAUGGUGAUUUUAAACCAACAUUUAUAUAAUCCCAUUAUAAAACUCAUCAAACCUUCUAAAAUAACUCGUUGAGAUAGUGUGCUAGAUCCAUAUAAAUAUUUCUCCAACUUCUUAGCUUGAAGCGAUAUUCAUUUCCAUUGAUAGUUUAAUGGGCAAAGCCUUUUGAAUUCUCCAGGUUAUCAAGUUAUUUUUUGCUGGAAAAUGCAAUCCGGAUAUGAAUAGAUUUUUUUGUGCAAUCAAAUUUUCUAUGUUGACGCAUCCUCUAGAACUUUCAGUAAAUUUUAUGGAGAAGCUUUAAUUUCUUAGUUGUUGAUUUCGAAUAAAAAAUUAAACUUAACUUUAAAAUUACAGUUGUAAUUAUAAAAUAUUUACUGAAUACAUUAGUGUUAAUACUACAAAUUGUUCCAUUAAAAGUCUCUCAAAAAGGAAGAAGUGACUUAAAAAAUUAAAAGAAUGCAGGAGCUGAAGUUGGCAAUUUUGUAAAUUGCAAUGGCAAUUGUGGGCUAGUAAAAUCCCUCAAUGAGUCACAGCACUAGCAAUUUCGUAAUAUACAUUAGUGGCAAUUUUGUAAAAUUGAAGUUGUGAUAGUUUUGCAAAUAAAAGUAAAAGCUUUUUGCCUAAAUUCGGCUGAGCUAAAAGCCAGCUUAGCCCACACUCUCCUUCGCCACCGGUUGACGAGCUCUUCCUUCAAUUUUUGAACUUGAAGUGAUGCCCCAUCGAUGUCCAGAAUUUUUAAAGUCAGAAUGAUGAUCCUAAUGAUUCUUUUUAGAUAGUCACCUGUACGUUGACGUGUUUAAUUGAUGUUUAUUUAAGCAGAAAUUGAAGUUUGAUCCCUGAUUAAUUAGAUGAGAACACACAUUCAUGAGUAAAUACUUAAAAUUAAAUUAAUCAAAAUAGUAUAAAUACAGGAGAAAAUCGAUCAUAUGCGUGCAGACAUCACAAUCGAAUUAUAUAUAUCACCGCCGCACAUAAAUUUGAUUCCCAUGAUAUGUGAUUAAUUAAUUAAUUUUUUUAAUAACAAUUAAAUUGUAAUGUCAAUUGUCCACAUAAGUUUUUUGUUUUUGUUGAUGAAAGUUAGUAAUUUUUUUCCAUCUUUUUAAAUAAAAGUUGUUAAUAAAUAUCAAGAAAAUAUUGGGACUUGAGAUCAGGGUCUACUUAAGUUAGAAUUUUUUAUUAGAAAAGCUAUAGCCAGCGAUGAAAAAUAAAGAAGUAACACAAGAUAAAGAGUAAAAUGAGAGAGCAUAUAUUAUAAAAAGAUUUUACCCAUUUCAAGUGUGCACCAAACAAAGAGACGAACUCUCAUUUUAUAGUUACAUAAUUAUUACAUGAAAUUAAUAAAAAUAUUAAGAAUUAUAAUUCCUUGCGAGAUAGUGGGAGUUAUAGAAAAGUCAAGAGUUGUUAGUGGAAGAUAGCAAGAAGAGUAAAAAAUAUAUGUUAUGAACAUUCACAUUUAUUUUAAUAAAUUUACAGUAUUUUUUUCGUUAAAUAAUAGGGUGUGGAGAACAAUUGGAAGGACUUUACGUGUGUUUAUAUAUUGACAUAAAAAUUGCAGGACGUGUAGUUUAGCGUUUCUUGGUUGUUCAGUGCUAGUUUUCUAAAUCUCGAGCGUGCGGGUUAUUUUUCGUUACCUUUAUCACCGAAAGGCUGUUUUAACCAACUAAGAACUAAAAGCUAAAACCCAAAACCCCCCUCUUGUUCUUUUCCAGGGACUUUACCUUGUCCUUGAUGGCCGAAAAGCAACUGGAAAUCCUCCGCGGGUACGAGCUGCGGCUCUUGCGCUGCACCCUCGCUCCCCCACCGUCCGAUCUUCGCAUUCAAUCGCAACCGUUGAACGAAGAAAGCCAAUGCUCUAUCCUUCCACUCCACGAGCACAUCAACAGCCUCAUCAACUCCAUCGAGUCCGGCCACUAUCUCCAGGCUCUGUCCUCCGACGAGGCUAAACACGCUCUCGACACGCUCGAUUUCGUCGACAUCAACGACUCAGCCGAGUGUGCCGACCGCGUCUACUCCGAGCUGCUCCAGCUUGUCGAAGCGUCUAUAGUGAACGAUUCCGAAAUUGACGUGGAUAAGGCUUGUCGAGUUAUUCUGCUCAUGUGUCUUUCAAUUGCUGCCCUUUUUUGGUUCACUCAGUGUAACGUGACUGGGUGAGUUUCUUAUUUAUAAAUUUUUAAAUAAUUGCAAUUAAUUAAUAAUAAAUAUUAGUAAAAAAUUAAUCAAAAAAAAGGUUUAGUGAUGAACCUUGUCGAGGUGCCUUCUAAUAGAAAAGAGCUCACGGCAAGAUGAAAUGCAAAGUAAGUUGUUUUAUGGUUGGGCGGUGUGUAGCCGUCUUGUUGAAGGCCAUAAGAUGUUAAGCAUAUUGCUGUUUAAUUUUUAAAUCAUUCUCAGUAAUAAUUCCUUUAGUAGAUUGAUGAUAAGAGAUUGCAUUGCAGAUGAUAACUGAGCACAAUUUCUGUAGUUGUAUCCCUGUACAUCCAUCUUAAUAUCCUCAUUAUAUUCACAUGCCUUUUACGGGUGUUAUUUCUGGAUGCAGAAUGCUUUGUUCCACGUCUGGAUACCAAAUGCUUUGUUCCACAAAGCUGAGCUGGUUGAAAAGCUAGCUGAUGAGGUCAACAUGUCCCUUAAGUAAUUUGAGGAUGAACACUGUGUUCCCGAAAGUCUUACUCUAAUGAUACUUAAAGAAGCAAUGAGAAUGGAUGUUGCAGCAGCUUUGCUGAACUCAACCCCAGUUCCAAAAAUGGAACAUGUGAAAAUGCAUUGUUUUUUUUUUUUUUUUUCUCUCUCUUUAUGACUUCUUUGGUUGGGAAUGUAUUAGAUAUUCACCUAAUCAGUAGGCCUUGAAGGGAUCCCAUGUUAGCCCCUUGAUGUUGGUCUGUAACUAAGUAAAUACUUGACCUUGAAAAAGCUUUUGGAGGCAUCAGUUCUCUCUGACUGUGUGCUACUUUUUGGAUCUGUUGAUUUGGUCAUUUGCUGAUUUAUAGUUAUUUUUCUGAUUCAGGAUGGGAUAUGGCUCCAUACAUAUAUAGGCAAUUGAUUCACAGCAGUCGUCAUGCUUCAUUGUAAUUAUAUAUACAAUACAGCAUCAGUUUUUCUUGAUUUUAAAUCUCGUAUUCUGAAGUGGUACUUCUGAUUCUCACAUGAUUUUUCCAUCUUUCAGCUAAAGUUUUUCUGUGAUCUCUUCCGUAUUAGAUGGGAGUUCACCCGUAGUCGCACAAAAGGGCGUGCUUUAGAGAUGAUGGACAAACUGGUAUGAUCUGUGAGCCUUUUCUUCUUAAAUAUUUUGUUACCUAAAUCAUUUUCAUUCAAAUUUACAAGAGUUGCCUAUGGAUCUAUAGAAGAUUCCAAACUUUCUGCAGCUAGUAGUUUCUUGGUUUCCGUACUGUCCAUCGGGUAAAGAUUGAAUGUGCAUCAUUUAUAAACUUGUCGGGAUCUUCCUUCUUAGCUUUGAGAUUGCUCCUGCAUAUAGGUAGAACCAAAGGCACAAAUGGUACUUGUUGCAAACACAAGCUCAUCCAACACUUCUGAUGUCUGCCCUUCAAUAAACCAAGUCAUUCAUACACAUGAUUCUACUAUUGGUGAUGCCUCUGAUGUUUUUGUGACCCCAAAAUUAUUGGGGAAUAGUCAUGAAUCUGAAUCUGGAGUCCAAUGCAUUCAUGCUGGUGGCUCAGCAGCCCAUUUAAAGGCAAUCCAACAGGCAGUGAUCUUGUCGAGGUGCCUUCUAAUAGAAAAGAGCUCACGGCAAGAUGAAAUGCAAAGUAAGUUGUUUUAUGGUUGGGCGGUGUGUGGUCCUCUUGUUAAAGGCCAUAAGAUGUUAAGCAUAUUGCUAUUUAAUUUUUAAAUCAUUCUCAGUAAUAAUUCCUUUAGUAGAUUGAUGAUAAGAGAUUACAUUACAGAUGAUAACUGAGCACAAUUUUUGUAGUUGUAUCCCUGUACAUCCAUCUUAAUAUCCUCAUUAUAUUCACAUGCCUUUCACGGGUGUUAUUUCUGGAUGCUGAAUGCUUUGUUCCACUUUUGGAAACCAAAUGCUUUGUUACACAAAGCUGAGCUGGUUGAAAAGCUAGCUGAUGAGGUCAACAUGUCCCUUAAGUAAUUUGAGGAUGAACACUGUGUUCCCGAAAGUCUUACUCUAAUGAUACUUAAAAAAGCAAUGAGAAUGGAUGUUGCAGCGGCUUUACUGAACUCAACCCCAGUUCCAAACAUGGAACAUGUGAAAACCAAAAAUGCAUUGUUUUUUUUCUCUUUAUGACUUCUCUAGUUGGGGAAUGUACUAGAUAUUCACCUAAUCAGUAGGCCUUGAAGGGAUCCCAUGUUAGCCCCUUGAUGUUGGUCUGUAACUAAGUAAAUACUUGACCUUGAAAAAGCUUUUGGAGGCAUCAGUUUCUCUCUGACUGUGUGCUACUUUUUGGAUCUGUUGAUUUGGUCAUUUGCUGAUUUAUAGUUUGUUUUCUGAUUCAGGAUGGGAUAUGGCUCCAUACAUAGAGACAAUAGAUUCACAGCAGUCAUCAUGCUUCAUUGUAAGUAUAUAUACAAUACAGCAUCAGUUUUUCUUGAUUUUAAAUCUCAUAUUCUGAAGUGGUACUUCUGAUUCCCACAUGAUUUUUCCAUUUUUCAGCUAAAGUUUUUCUGUGAUCUCUUACGUAUUAGAUGGGAGUCCACCCGUAGUCGCACAAAAGGGCGUGCUUUAGAGAUGAUGGACAAACUGGUAUGAUCUGUGAGCCUUUUCUUCUUAAAUAUUUUGUUACCUAAACCAUUCUCAUUCAAAUUGACAAGAGUUGCUUAUUUAUCGAUAGAAGAUUCCAAACUUCUGCAGCUAGUACUUUAUUGGACCCAAAAGCUUUUUUGCUUUUUCUAAGCUGCUAAUCAAGACUAGGUUUCUCUCCCUUAUAUCGCUAGAUAUGCCAUUAAUCGUUUGAUUUAAUUGUCUAGAGAGAUUAGAUACUUGCAUCUUUGCUUUUCACUUCACAAGUGAUUUCAUGUGCUAUCCUGUAUUCUGGUUCAAGAUUUUUGAUGGUUGCUUACUAUCAUAUUUUGCUUUGUUUCAGGUUGAGGGCAUUUCUAACUCUUCUCCCGGUGUGACUCAAAGUAUUCCCUUUUGUUAUGUGAUUUGCAUUCCAACUAUUCCUGCCCUGCGAAAGUAAAACUAUUUCUUCUGCAUCUUUGAAUGAUUGUGAUUUAAUUUUCUUGUCAUUUUGCCAACUAUCAUUAUGCUGUCAUUGUUUCAUAUCUUAUUUGACAUAUGUUGAUUUGGAUAGAUUUUAAUUGCUCUGUUUAUUCUCUUUAUAAUCUGUCUAUUUCGAUUUUUCUUCAUUUUAGGGAAUAUGCUAAACUUUUAGUAAGCCGUGGCUUGAUUGGAGAGGCUAUUAAAAAUUUUGAGGAUCUGGUGUUGUGGGAUAGUCUAAUACUGCAAUUGGUAUGAUGUCAUAGAUAACCAUUACCCUAAUCUCUCUGUCUAUCUCUCUCUCUCUCUCUUUCGUGUUGCUAAUGGGAGUUGGUUUUGUGUAUGAUGUAAAAAACAGCCUAUUGGGGAAGAAAGCAGCAGCUGUUGAACUAAUAAAAGCAAGGCUGUCUGAAAAGCCUAAUGACCCUACAUUAUGGUUUGUUGAUGAGCCUUUUCUAUGAUCCAUUUUAUAGUUACUUCUCAUUUCAGUUAAAUCCAUUGUUGAUGUCACUUAUUGCAAUCUAGGGAUGAUUGUUCAUUGGAUGUGAGGAUAUUGUCAGAAGAAAAUGAAACCUUUUAAUUUUAUCUUUUACUUGCUGUAGCCGACUUAAAAGGUCACUGUGCGUUCUUACUGAUUGCUUUUGGUCUUGCAUUUGAGUCAGUGGAUUUUAUACUCAUAUUCUGACAUGUAUUGUUAGCCUUCUGACGGUUCUGCACCUUGGUCCUAUAUUAUCUUCAGCAGUAUUAUCUAAAAGAUCAUUUUUUGCCGAAGAAUAUUUGCAUUCUAAACUAGAAAAGGAGGGGCCGCCCGGGCCCGGGGGGGGGGGGGGGGGUGUGUGUGUGUGAAGGAAGCAUCAGGAGGUUGUUUUCCACUUAUCCUCUUCCCUGCCUGCAUUUUAGAUGAUUCUGAUGCACCAGGUGCCGUGAAAUGGUUGAGAAAUACAUACCAUCAAGUGAAUUCUGAAAAUCAUAUCCUUUUUGAGAAUAUUUGGUGCUAGACAUUUGAAUAUGUGGCCACAAUUUAAACAAUAAAGAUUUUCUGCACUGAUUUCUUAUAAUGGAUAUAUGCAUGUAAUUAUAAUAUGAUAUCUUUUGAUUAUUGACCCAUUUGUUUAGAAAGAAGGGGAAAAAAAAAACAUGGUUGAAAGACAACUGUUACUUGACCUUAUCUUGGUCUGUUCACUGCCGUUUGUUUCCUAUAACUUCUGGUGAUAAUGUAGCCAGAAUGAUGAGUUGAAUUGUGGUUUACUGACUUGUGAUACAUUUUGUAGGUGUUCAUUUUUGUUUUCUAAAUUUGUUAUCUAAAGGAAUGACAAGUUGACAACUCAGCCUCUCUCUCUCUCUCUCUCUCUCUCUCUCUCUGUGUGUCUGUGUCAGGGAUCUGAUUUGUGGAAAGAAAGAGAUCGGUUUGAAAGGUUUUCAUAUGCAUCCUUGGAACUUUGUAAGGUUUACAUGGAAAUUUCUUCCUCUUCUGGUAGCCGUCAAGAACUCUUUGCUGCUGAGAUGCACCUGAAGAACGUACUUAAACAAGUAAAAUACCUUAUAAUUCGAUAUUUAAGACACUUACAGAUGGUAUUACAUUGACAGCAGUAAAACAAAGAAGCAACUGAAAGUUAUCUUCAUAUGAGAAUGAAAGCUUUUCAGCAGCAUAAGCCUUUCACUAUUCAAUUCCAAACACGUUCCUCAACAUGAUAACAAAUUCGUAGACCUUUUCUGGGUCUGGAAGGAUCCUGUAACAGUUUCUCUUUGCAUGCACUUGUUCAUCCAUGCUGAGAAUUUGGGGCACUCAUUCUCAACCUUAAAUCCCCCAAAUUCCUCAACCGCGUAAAACCAUCAAGUCAGUGGAAUGGCAAUCACAUCAACGAAUCCAAAGCUGUCCCCGCCAAAGAAAUCCUUCUCCCCUAAAGCUCCCUCAAGUUGCUUCAAAAUCUCUAUAAAUUCAUUCUUCGCCGGGGACCUCGCCCUUCGUUUUGCAUAUGUUGCAGACUGGAUCGAAUACCUGCCAAAAAAGUGGUGUCAUCUUUUAAGUUCGCAUUUAGAAAGAUACAAACAUUUACACUUGAGAAUUAUAGACUGACCUUCUUGUCAAUAAAAUCUGCCCAGAACCUUGCCUUAGCUCUCUCAGAAGCACAGGAUGGGAGAAGUGAUGGCGAAGGCCAAGUCUCGUCAAUUUAGUUGACUAUAAUAGUGGAUUAACACAAUGGUUCCCCAUCGUGCAGCAAAACUGGGACUUUCUUGUAGAUGGGGUUUGAUUUGAGCAACAGGUCACUCUUGCCCCCGAACAAGUUCUCAGCUCUGGCUUCAUAUCCAACUCCUUUCUCAGCCAAUGCAAUCUUUGCUCUCAAGCAAAAUGGGCUAACCCAACAGUCCAAAAGAACAACCUCUCCCUUUGACAUAUUCAACUAUCAAGGUUGGUAUUUAUAUAGGAGAAAAGAUGAAAUUCCCAAAGAUUGUGUCGCAAUCAAGGUUUGUUCGUUGGCACUUCGAUAAAGGAUGUGGCCUUGUUCUUAUCAUUUCUUAGUUUUUGAAGCUAAAUGUUUUACUUGGCUUUCAACAGGCACAAGAACAAGUUUGUCUUGUGUAAAUAAAAUAAAACCAUAAAAUUCCAUUAUUAGUGUAAAACCAAAAUAAUUAAAAUAAUAAAAGUGAGUUAGUCGUGCGUGUGGACCUCCUCUUUAUGAGUUUGUUAUCACACCAUAUUUGGUUUCUAUAAAUAAAAUAACUAAAACUCUCUUAUCUAAGUAAGAAUAUUGUUAUUUUGAAAUACCAACUCAAUCUCUAACAAAUCUUGAGAUAUAACUUAAGAUUCUUGAGCUUCCAAUAUAAAACAAGUAAGAUUAACAUAACUUUUUCACUUCCUUCCAUCAAAGAAGGGAAUAAGUUAUAUAAUUUAAUUUAUGUUUAAUUAAAUUAUUUUAAAUGGGUAAUAAUUAUAAAUUUUUCCACUUUAUUUAAUUAACUAGAUAAGACCAUAUUGUAAAUUCUUACAUUUAUCACUUUAAUCUCUUUCCUUUUUCAUUCCAACUCCGGUACAAACUAUUCCUUUUCAAAAAGUUGUACUCAAAUUGAUAAGUCUUGGAAGACCAAAACACUAUUUAAAAUUUAUUAUUUGCUUUAGUAGCUUUCAUGGGUGCAAGGUAAGGAACAAAACUCGGUGGAUUUUAUGACAAAAGCUUUAUCUUAUGUAGCACUUUUUUCGAUAUCUCGAACUUUACUCUUUAAGAAUGUUGUAUAAUAUUUCUACAAUAACAACAAACAAAUUAUAACCCUGAAAGAUCUAUAUACACCUCGAUCUCUAGCUAGUUCUCUACAAAAUAUGGCACUAAGUAACAAUGUAAUCGGAGCCAUCAACUUUGUUGCCGUACUUCUUUCAAUCCCAGUCAUCGGUGCCGGAAUCUGGCUUGCCACCGAGGCAGACAAUUCUUGUGUCAAGCUUCUACAAUGGCCAGUCAUUAUUUUGGGAAUCUUGAUUCUAGUCGUGGCUCUAGCAGGCUUUAUUGGAGGAUUUUGGCGCAUCCCUUGGCUCCUUAUACUUUAUCUCGUUGCCAUGCUCAUUCUUAUAAUAUUGCUGGCUUGUCUAGUUGUUUUCAUUUACAUGGUCACGAUUAAGGGCUCAGGUCACCUUGCACCCAGUAGAGCGUACUUGGAAUACCGCCUCGAUGAUUUUUCUGGAUGGCUACGUAGAAGAGUUCGAAGCCCUUACAAAUGGGAUCGGAUCAAAAGCUGUCUCAGCUCGACACAGAUGUGCCCUGAGUUGAACCAUGUAAAAAUGAGUUGCAAAUACUGUUUGGUUACUGAGAAACAGAGAGAAAAUUGAUGAAUAUUCCAGAUCUUAUUAUUUCAUUAAUUACAAAUGAGUAAAUCACAAGUCUUUAUACUUGCAUUUCAUUAGUAAAAGCUAUUAACGAAACUGAUCUGUAUUAACUAACUAAUACUAACUAACUAAUCACGCGAACUCUCAUUGCUGCAUAACAGAAUCAGCUGACUCAGCAUUGUUGACGUGGCAUUGCUGACGCACCUUAGCUUCUGACUUCUUCUCUCUUCUUAGCUCAGCACAAUGAGCUUUCUUCACAGCCCCUCUCAAACUCAAGGGGCAUAAAUGCACAUUGAGUUUGUUCCUCAGAUAAAUGAACUGAGAAGAGUUUAAGGGCUUAGUCAUUAUGUCUGCUAUCUGUUCUGUACUAGGAACAUAUAGAAUCUUAAGAUCUCCAGUUAGAACCUUAUCUCUGAUAAAAUGCAGAUCGAUUUCUAUGUGUUUUGUUCUUGAGUGAAACACUGGAUUAUGAGCAAGAUCUUUGGCACUUACAUUGUCACACCAUAUAACUGGUUUCUCCACACGACAUAGAUUAAUCUCAAGAAACAAAGAUUUUAUCCAUGUUAUCUCUGAAACAGCUGCUGCAAGUGCUCUGUAUUCACUUUCUGCAGAAGAUUUUGUAACUACAGAUUGCUUCUUUGAGGACCAUGAGAUUAAGUUGUUUCCUAGGUACACACAAUAUGCACCAGUGGAUCUUCUGUCAUCAAGAUCACUUCCCCAGUCUGCAUCUGUAAAUGCUGUAACCUUCAGCUCACCUUUCUUAACAAAUUUCAGCCCAUAGUCUUGUGUUUCCUUCAGAUAUCUAAGCACACGUUUGCAUGCCAUAAGAUGUUGAAGUGUUGGUGAAGAUACAUACUGACUUAGCUUAUGAACUGAAUAGGCAAUUUCAGGUCUUGUCAAAACUAAAUACUGAAGACCUCCUACAAUGCUUCUGUAAUGAGAUGGAUCUUCUAUGUAAUAACCCAUUUCCCCUUCUAUAUUCUUCUGCAAUCUGUAAUCUUUGCUGCUGCUCAUUGGUGUAUCUAUUCCUUUACACUCGAGCAUAUCAGCUUUAGCCAGCAAGUCUCUGAUAUACUUCCUUUGUGAUAGAUACAUACGGCCAAGAUCAUACAAAACUUCAAUUCCAAGAAAAUAAGAUAACUUUCCCAGAUCCUUUAAUGCAAAUGCAGAACUGAAUAGCUUGAUAAAAUCUUCCAGCUCAUCACAAUUUGAUCCUGUAAUCAAUAUGUCAUCCACAUAUAUCAGGAUUAAAAUAAUUGAUCUUUUAUUCUUUUUCAAGAACAAAGAUGAGUCAGACUUAGAAUUCUCAAAUCCCCAUUGCACAAGACUGUUUCUCAGCUUGUCAAAACAUGCUCGUGGAGCUUGUUUCAAACCAUAAAGUGCCUUGUGAAGCUUGCACACAAAAUCAGGUCUUUUGGAAUCAAUAAACCCUUCUGGUUGACUCAUAUACACCUCCUCAAUUAAAUCUCCAUUUAAGAAUGCAUUAUUCACAUCAACCUGUCUUAUUUGCCACUGAUUCAUUACUGCUAGACUCAGGACUAUUCUAACUGUUGCUGCUUUCACCACUGGACUGAAAGUCUCAAAGUAGUUCACUCCUUCUAUUUGCUGAAAUCCUUUAGCAACCAACCUUGCCUUAUAUUUUGCAACACUUCCAUCAGUAUUUGAUUUCACUCGAAAUACCCAUUUGUUGCCAACAAGUUUGUGAUGUUCUGUUCUUGGCACAAGUGUCCAGGUACCAUUUGACAUUAGUGCAUCAUAUUCAGCUUUCAUUACUUGAAACCAUCUCUCAUCAUUGAUAGCCUCCUGAACUGUAUCUGGUUCUUUAUGCAACAAUACUGCAGUAUAUACCUUUGGCUUAAAGAUACCUGCUUUCCCUCUAGUGAUCAUGGGGUGUUGGUUUAGUGAUGGUGAGGUUGUCAUUGUUUGAUUGAGAUGAGGGAUAUUGUUAUUGUGUUGGUUUUGUGAAUUUUCAUUUGAGGGCUGUUCUAAUGUUGUGUCAGGUAUAGAAGGUAACAUUAUAGGUGCAGAUGGAUUAUUUCUGUCUGUGUUUGAGGGUUGUUGAUCUGUUACCUGUGUUGAGACUACUGUUGAAGGAAAAAUGUUGCCACUGGAGUAUGCUUGAGAGAAAGAUUCAUUGCUGGUGACUGAAAAAUCUGUUAUGACAGGUAAUGUUGAUAACUGGAAAACUUGUAUAGGAGUAAUUGUGCAAUAUGUAUCAGACUUAGAUUUAUUUGAAUUAUGAAAGCUAGGAUCAGCUGCAAAUGGAUAAGAGUGUUCAUCAAAGACAACAUGCCUAGCUAUAUAUAUAUGUCCAGAGGGGUGAUAACACUUGUAGCCUUUAUGAGAUGGACUAUAACCAAGAAAAAUGCAUUUGGUUGUGUGAUAGUCAAACUUGUGCUUAUUGUAAUCUCUCAGAUAUGGAUAACAAGCACAUCCAAAGCAUUUCAGCAUUUUAUAAUCAGCCUUGUGUUUAUAAAGCUUUUCAUAUGGAGUAGACAUCUUAAGUGCAGAAGUAGGGAGUCUAUUAAUGUGAUAGACUGAGGCAUGAAAAGCAUCCCACCAGAAUUGAAAAGGGAGUUUGGCUUGAGCUAGAAGUGUCAGUCCUAAUUCUACAAUUUGUCUGUGUUUUCUUUCAACAAGUCCAUUCUGAUGAUGAGUGUAAGGGCAAGAGUGUCUAAAGAGAAUGCCACAUUCAUUUAGAAAGGCAGUAAAUGGUCUGUAUUCUCCCCCCCAGUCAGAUUGUAGAAUUUUGAUAGAAGUUUGAAAUUGUUUUUCAACUUGAAGUUUGAACAGCUUGAACACUUCUAGAGCUUCUGAUUUAAGUUUCAAAGGAUAAAUCCAGGUGUAUCUGGUAUGAUCAUCCACAAAGCUAAUGUAAUAUCUAAAGCCAUCUCUAGAAUAUGCUGGUGAGGGACCCCAUAGAUCAGUGUGAACAAGUUCUAGAGCUGAUGUGGAUUUGAUAUCAGUGAUUGGAAAAUGAAGUUUAUGAAAUUUUCCUAGUUGACAUGCUUCACAGAAAUGCUUUGUAGCUUGAUUAACAAUAUUUGUAGAGCACAAAUUGGGAUGCACAAGCUUAAGCAAAUGAAUUAGACUUUGAGUAUUAGGAUGACCAAAUCGUUUGUGGAGUAAAGACAUUUUAUUGAAUGAAUUAGUGCUACAAGUAUUCUUAUUUGACUGAAAACAUUUUCCAGAACAAGAACUAUUAACUGAAGUGCUGAAAUAACACUGAGAUAGCAUGGACACAGGCUUAUUUAUUGAGCUCUGAGAUAGAAAAGAGGUAAAUGUAGAUUGUGAUGAUGAACUCAGCUGCAAUUUGUAUAAACCUUUCUCAGCAAUACCCAGUAGCAGAAUUUUCCCUUUCAGUAUAUCCUUCACAAAGCAAACAGAACCAAGGAAUUCAACAGAUAAGUCAUUAUCAGUGGUCAGUCUAGAAACACUUAUUAAAUUCUUUGUAAUAGAUGGAACAAGCAGUAUAUCUUUAAGUGCAAUGCAUGUACUUGCAUAUUGUAUUUUAGAGCUUUGAAUUGUAAGAUUGGCAUUACCAACAUGUGUGAUUGACAAACCUUUACCAUCACCAAUGAUAAGCUUGUCAUUACCUCUAAACUCAUUGCUGACAUGCAUAUUUGCCAUACUAUUUGUUAGAUGAUGUGUAGCUCCACUGUCAAGGUACCAUCCUUCAUCUGUUGGUCCUUCAAAGUUAGCAGCAUAAGCAGCUCCAGCUCCACUCACAGGUGAGCUCAUUGAGUCAGAUAUGUAUGAAGAAUAUGGUGUAUUAUACACGUGAGGUAUCCCUGAAUAAUCAGCUGCAGCAGGCCAUGAAUCUUCAGUAGGUGCAUUAAAAUAUGUCAUAUAGGCUGAUCUCUGAUUUCUUCCUCUUUUCAUGUGUUGAGGUAUAUAAUUUUCUUCAAACCUAUGCCAACAUUCUACUGCUGUGUGUCCAGAUUUAAAACAGAUCUGACAAACAACAGUCUGUUCCUCAUUACCAUCAGAAUUCGACAAACCAGAAUUAACACUAUAUUGUCCUCUCAUGAAUUGUGCCUGCUUAUUAUUGUUUCCAAUCAUUUGACCUCUGCCAAGAUUAUUACCAAGAUUUCCAGAUCCAGAGGGAAAGCCUCUUGGAUGAGAAUUGAUAAACAUUCCUCUUCCAGUAUGAAAAUUGUUUCUUCCAAAUUGAUUUCCACCAUGAAAUCCUCCAUUAUAUCCACCUCUUCGAGCACUACCUCUUGUUUGAGCAUAAUAAGCAUUCAUCAUACCAUAGCCAUUAUUAUUAUGAGAAACAUUAGCAAGAUUUGCAUUGAACAUCUGUUUUUCAUUUAGACUCUGUUCUAAUCUUGUUUCAUGCGUGAGCAGCAAUGCAUAGGAAUCAUCAAAAUCUAGCUUACUAGCAGUAAUGAAAGUUGCUAAAUCUAGAUAGCCUGGUCCAAGACCAUUAAGGAUCUGUUGUAACAGAUCUUUGUCAGAAACUGGACUACCAGCACAGGCUAAUUUAUCUGCUAUUUGUUUCAUUUUCAAACAAUAAUCUUCUACAUUUAGUGAAUCUUUUCUCAAAACACUCAUCUCAUAUUUGAGUUGAAGAACUCUAGCUUCAGAUUUUGCACCAAACUUUUUCUCCAAUGUUUUCCACACAUCAUAUGCAGUAUUACAAGAAUGAACAUGACUGAGAAUACCUUCAGUGAUUGAGCUUAAUAGCCAGCUUAGUAAUGUCUGAUCCUGUGACCUCCAGAUUAUAUAUUCUGGAUUUUCAACUUGUUGUGUAACUCUUCCCAUUGUUUCAGCAUAGCUUCCUGAAGUAAGAAAUUGAGUAGGUGCUGCCUUUUCUCCAUUGAUGUAGCCUUCAAGUCUGUUUCCUCUUAUAGAAGCUAAUACUUGAUUUCGCCAGAGCAUAUAAUUGGAUCUAUCCAAUUUGAUUGGCGUAAUGAAUGAGAAGGUAGUUUGUAUUGAUUGAUUCAUGUUUGUUGUGUUUGGAUUUGUGUUUAAAUUGCUUGAGCUUACCAUAUUUCUGGCUCUGAUACCAUGUAAAAAUGAGUUGCAAAUACUGUUUGGUUACUGAGAAACAGAGAGAAAAUUGAUAAAUAUUCUAGAUCUUAUUAUUUCAUUAAUUACAAAUGAGUAAAUCACAAGUCUUUAUACUUGCAUUUCAUUAGUAAAAGCUAUUAACGAAACUGAUCUGUAUUAACUAACUAAUACUAACUAACUAAUCACGCGAACUCUCAUUGCUGCAUAACAGAAUCAGCUGACUCAGCAUUGUUGACGUGGCAUUGCUGACGCACCUUAGCUUCUGACUUCUUCUCUCUUCUCAGCUCAGCACAAUGAGCUUUCUUCACAAACCAGAGUUAUAGGAUGGCUCAAGAUUUCUUCAAUGCACAUAUUACCCCUUUACAGGUAAUUAUAAUUAAUUAAGUUCUCGAUUACCAUUAAUUUUAUUUUAUUUUUUUCCAUUAAUUUCUAGAAAUUAAGAUUUAUUAGAACUCUAAAGUUAAAUUCUGAUUAAAAUUUUAAUUUUUAACGUACACAUUCCUCUUUAUAAUUAUGACCGUACGUAAUUUUAUAGCAGAGGAUAAUUCCUACCCAUUAAUUAAGCUAACCCACACGCCCAUGGAACAAUGAAGAAGUAGCUAAUAAAGUAAAAACACUGUAUUAGAUUCGGAAAACCAAGUUUCAAAUCUUCUUUUCAAAAAUAUUCUUCGUCUUUAUCUUUAUUGCGUGCCUUUGUGCUUUUUUUUUUCUAUUUAUUUAUUUUUCUUGUUUACAGUCUGGAUGUUGUAAGCCUCCGACAGAGUGUGGUUACACAUUUGUAAACCCAACAUAUUGGAUAAGUCCAAUUAACAACGCGGCGGACAUGGAUUGCCUACAGUGGAGCAAUGACCAAAUGCAGCUUUGCUAUAAUUGUGAUUCAUGCAAAGCAGGAUUACUUGCUAAUCUGAAAAAGGAGUGGAGAAGAGUAGAUAUCAUAUUACUCGUUACUCUUGUUGCUUUGAUAUGGGUUUAUCUGAUUGGAUGUUGUGCUUUUAGGAACGCCAAAACUGAAGACCUCUUUCGCAAGUACAAGCAAGGCACUUACACGUAAUUGUUAGCUGCACGUAAACUCUCUUUGAUAGUAAUAUUAAUGUGUAAUUAGGGACUGGCUUGAAUUGUUAUUUUGAUAAUUUUAUGAAUUUUUUGUUUAAGAUCCGUCUUCUUGGUUACUUACAUUUGGUUAAAUUAUGUGUGGGGUUUGAUUUGAUGACGACAUAAUCUUGAGUUGUGCGUGCGUGAUUUGUGGAGGGCGCCGAAAGUAGGUGGCUUUUGAAUAUUUGCUUUUUAAGGAGAAGGGAUUUCGCACUUCCGCUCCCUGCUUGCUCGCAUAGGGCAUUAAUUGUAGCUUUGAAAAAAGUUCUGCUUCAGCAUGCGCAAAAGUCAAAGAAAUGGGACAUGUGCUCAUGCAUUAUGCAGCCAGCAUAUGGGUGAUAGCAGACGUAUUUAAUCUUUUAGUCUUUGUUGACAACUCAGCCUCUCUCUCUCUCUCUCUCUCUCUCUCUCUCUCUCUCGCUGUGUCUCUGCGUCAGGGAUCUGAUUUGUGGGAAGAUAGAUAUCGGUUUAAAAGGUUUUCAUAUGCAUCCUUGGAACUUUGUAAGGUUUACAUGGAAAUUUCUUCCUCUUCCAGUGGCCGUCGAGAACUCUUUGCUGCUGAGAUGCACCUGAAGAACGUCCUUAAACAAGUAAAACACCUUAUAAUUCGAUAUUUAAGACACUUACAGUUGGUUUAAAGAUUGCAUUUUCCGUUUCUGUUUUUGACUGGUUCAGGGUAAAACUUUUUCUCACUGUGUUAGAGUGCAUUUCUGUUAUUAUAUAGUACCUGUCAAAAUUUUCCAUUCCAAUUAGUUACAGAGUGAAUUCUGUAAGGUGUGGCGCCCCCUUGAAGGCCAGGAGAGCCGUGUUUAGGGCUUAUCACCCCUCCAAGGUGUAAUCCCUUGUAUCCCUGUAGCUUAUACCAGAGGUCCGGAGUACUGCAGACUUGUGGAGAUACGGGGCUAUGAGUUUCCAUCUUUCGGACAUCACAACACUUGUUCUGGAGAAAUUAUGGGUUUAUUUCAGAACAGAGGAAGGUUACUUCAUUAAGAGGAAUGAGAGAUUUACAAUACACUAGAUUUAGGCUCCAAGACUCGAUGCCUAGAUACAAACCAAGGGUUCCCUUUUAUAGGCACAAGGGAACCACUAUUACACACUGUAGUCAUUAUUGAUCCUUAUCUCUAAGGAAUCUAUUUUACAACUCACUCCUUACUUUAUGUCACACUCAUACUCUCAUCCUUAUCACAAAGGAUGGUACACAAUACAUACGAAUACAAAUACAUAUAUUAUUAUUAUUAGAGAUACAAAUACAUAUAUUAUUAUUAUUAAAUAUACAAAUACAUAUACGAAUACAAAGGAUGGUACACAAUACACUCUGAUAAUAAUAAUAUAUGUAUUUGUAUUCGUAUGUAUUGUGUAUCAUCCUUUGUGAUAAGGAUGAGAGUGUGAGUGUGACAUAAAGUAAGGAGUGAGUUGUAAAGUAGAUUCCUUAGAGAUAAGGAUCAAUAAUGACUACAGUGUGUAAUAGUGGUUCCCUUGUGCCUAUAAAAGGGAACCCUUGGUUUGUAUCUAGGCAUCGAGUCUUGGAGCUUAAAUCUAGUGUAUUGUAAAUCUCUCAUUCCUCUUAAUGAAGUAACCUUCCUCUGUUCUGAAAUAAACCCAUUUUGGUAUCAGAGCCAUAUUUCCCAAAAGGAAACCCCUGGGUGUGCAACAAUAUUAUGCUCUGUGGUUGCCGAAACACUUCGGAUCCUCCACAUCAGAAAGUUGUUGAAUACUGAUCUACCUGUCAAAAUUUUCCAUUCCAAUUAGUUACAGAGUGAAUUCUGUAAGGUGUGGCGCCCCCUUGAAGGCCAGGAGAGCCGUGUUUAGGGCUUAUCACCCCAAAGAAAACCCUUUGUUUUCUCUUAGCCAUGGAAAACUCAAACAGUAAUAGAUCUGGAAACCAAACAGUUUCUGACCAAGGAUCCACUUCGGCUAUCAGAGUUCUAACUGAUAGUUCACCCUCUAUAAACUUCCAUUACGAAACCCAAGAGGAUGAAAGCAGUGAGAGAGCGGUUCAGUCCUUUAGACUUGAUCCGUUAGAUCCCUAUAGAUACUACCAUAUCAAUUCUACUCUUAAUCAAUUAAGAGCCAUAAUUCCUAUUAGACAACCCAAGCUUAAAACCAUCUAUAAAUCCUCUGAGAUUACUGUCCAGUUCAUCUCCUCCAGUUCUAAAGAAACAUACCUUCCUAUAAUCUCUACCAAUGAGGUUACAAGGUAUAAGCUACAGGGAUACAAGGGAUUACACCUUGGAGCAAUCUAGAUAGGAAUACAACCAUUGUUCCUAGCUGGAAAAGAUAUCACAUGCUUCAUUGCCAUCCUUGACACUAGAUGGCAAACUUUUGAGAAAGCCUUGAUCACUGCUGUCGAAGCAGGACUCAACCAAGGUCAUGUUGUUCUCCAAGUUGAACCCAACUUCACCCUUGACAUACACAAGCCAUUUCUCACAGAUGCCAUUAAGGUAUUAAUUCAGGUCAAUGGUCUAACCAUAAAACCUGAUGAAUCUGCCUUGGCAAUUCACCACACCAUGACCUAUAAAGUCCAAACCCAUCUGUUCUCUAUGAGCAGCUCUGGCAGGCCCAUUACCAGAUUUCUUGCUGGUGAUGGCAGAGUCUUUCAACCUCGGACUUAUAGGCAAAAUCAGCUCAUUUUUCUACCUCAAUGGAUCAAUGAGUAUGAAAAAAACAGCAAGCCUCAACAAAUCCAUGAGGUUCCAAAGAUAAGCCGGUUACAAGAAGGAAGGGUAUCAGUCUCUUUUCCCACUGAGACUAAAGCCCUCUAUCCAUGUGAAAAAUGCCAGCUUGAAGGAAGGCAUCCCUCCUUGUGCACUCAUAUGCCAAGAAGAAUCACCUCCUGCAGAAUCAUGGGUCCAAUUAACAUGAUCACCACUCCGGAUCUUGAUAAUGAAUUCCUCAAGGAUAUUCCUGGAGGAAUGUAUGUUGCCAAAUGGGUAAUACAAAAAACCAACCCAACUGAAUUUGGCCCAAUUGAGAAGGCGAUCAACUGGUCAAACAUCAAUGCUGUUGAACAGAACCAAGCGUUGGGAGACAUCAUGGUUACCCAACAGCAAAUUCUUGCUGACUUAGCUGUUAUCAGAAAACAGCUAAAGAAAACCAGAAAACAGCAUAAGGUGACUACCCAGCAGUUUUCCCAAAUGCAUGACAGUGCCUCCAGAUCUAUCAACAUGAUCGUAAUGACCGGAGCUGCAGAUGAGGACGGAAUGAGAAGAACCAGAGAAAGCUAUCAAAGGACAAAAGUGUCCAGGCACUGGAAGAGCAAGCCCACAAAGCCAUGGCAUGUCUGGGAAGAAAAUGCAUCUGGCAACUGUCAAAAGGCAUUUUGGAGAAGCUAUGCUCCACCUCCACAAUAUCCAUGGCCCACUAAGGCUACAGGAUGGGAUGAGGAUAAAGAUACGGAUACUGAAACAAGUAUCUCCUCUGAUGACCAGAUCCCUCUUAUACCAAUUCUUAUGCAAAGAGCAAAUCCUCCAAAUCCAUUCUAUGUGGAUACUCGAGCUAGAUUUGCAGCAUCCACACCAACACAGGGUCAAACCUCUGAUCCUACAAGACAAGAGCAAACUCAACACCCAUCAGGAACAACCCAGUUCACUGCCCCAGAAUUCGCUAAUCCUGCUGCCCAACCAGAAGCAUCUGGAGUAGAAUCCACAAAUCAAGAAGACAGGGCACCACAUAUUGAUGAGGUAAAUCAGGGAGACGAAUGGGAAACCCGUGUCCAACUUGGGCAUUCUACGACGGGAAAAAUGUUCUGGAACAUCGAUAGAAUGAAGCCAAAAGAAAUAUUGGCUUACUUUGAAAAGAUGGUAGCUUGGUAUGAAGGAGAAUGCCAACGAACUCCCCAGUUGAGCAGAAGAUCGGCAGCAAUGAGACUUGUUGCAGGAUUCGUUGGAUCAUUGAGAAGAUGGUGGGGAAGAAAGCUCAGCAGAGAACAAAAGGAAUUCAUACUCAGCAGAGAAGACCCUUGUGGAAGCUUGGUAGAAAAUCUAUCCUUGGAUUUUCUCGGCCAACACACAAGAGAAGAAGAAGUAGCUGAAAAACAAUUUCUCCAGAACAAGUGUUGUGAUGUCCGAAAGAUGGAAGAGUACUACCUAGAGCAAGAAAGGUUGUACUACAUCUUUGACAAACAAACUGACACCAUCCACAGAACAUUCGUGCUAAACAUGCCAGGCCCAGUAGCGGAAAUGAUGGAGGCUAAAUUCAAAGCUGAUGCAAUUGUUGAUUUAGCACAGCUUAGCCUUGCUCAGCUCUAUCAGAUAUCUAUGGAGCUGAUCCAAAGUCAUUGCAGAUCUCAAGACUUAAGAAGGCACAUGAAGCAGAUUGAGAAAUCCUCUCUGCAAAAAUUCUGUAAUGAGGAACCAAACAAAUUUGGUUGCCACCAUACAGACAAAAUGUGCUCUUGCAAGAACAACAGGCAGAAAAGGCCAAAGAAACCCUGGAAGCCCUACAAAGGAAAGAAAUACCGUUUCAUCAAAAAACGAAAACAAAAGAAAGGCUCGGGGAGAUGUUUCAUUUGCGGAAAGAAAGGUCACUAUGCCAAACAGUGCAAAUCCAAGAAAAGACUUCCAGCAAAACUUCUCCAGAUGAUCCAGCAGGAAGAUUUUGAUGAUGACAUCUAUACCUGGUCAGAUAGCCCUACGGUGUUGUAUACACAAUGGAUAAAUAUCCUCUUUCAGACGACGAUGAUACAGAUUCUCUUUCUAGCACUGACAGUGAUUCUGAUGAUGAUCCUGUCAUGACCAUCCAUGAGCCUCUCCAAGCUAACCUGGCAAUGGCCCCUGCCUCUCUCUUCAGACCACAUAUAAAGGUUAUCCUCAACCCAUCUGAGGAUAAACAGGUAGCACUCACUGCUCUUAUUGACACUGGAGCAAUGUGCUCAUUCAUUCGAGAAGCUUGUGUUCCUUCCACCUUUUAUGUUCCUACUAAGGUCUCGUUUGGCUCCGCUAGUGGAAGUAACUUCUCCAGUAAAAAGAUUACCCGGCCUAUAGAAAUCCAGCCCUUUAUGAUAAGGCAUGGCUUCUUUGCCUUUGAUUAUUCAGGCGAAGAUAUCUUGCCAGGCACCGACUUUUUAAGUCUGAUUGCCCCUUUUGCCUUCUUUCCCGAUGGCUUCUCUUAUACCAUUCGGAAUCCUCACACGGGCACCACUAACACUUUCUGGGUACCCUGGGUUGAAAAACAAUCCAUUUUUGGGGAGGGUGGAAAACUACAAAAUUACACCAUCCAUAAAUAUGAACCCCAAAUUAAAGAACUCCUUGAAUGCUGUGCAGAAGUGCCAAACCAGUUUUGGGCUAGAGAACAACAUUUUGUGUCUCUACCAUACAAGGAUGGAUGGACCAUGCCUCACCAGACGGCCUCUCAUCCAGGCAUUCCUCAUGACGAAGAACUAUGCAAAACAGAGAUCCAGGCUCUUAUGGAUCUAGAGCUCAUCAGGCCCUCUAAGUCUCAUUGGGCUAGCCCAGCAUUUUAUGUCAACAAGCAUUCAGAACAGAUACGUGGAAAAAAGCGAUUGGUAAUUCACUACAGAAAACUGAAUGAUUGCUUGCAGGACAUAAGAUACCCCAUUCCACGGAGGACACACAUUUUAAAACGCAUUGCUGGUGCAAAAGUGUUUUCAAAGUUUGACAUGAAGUCAGGCUUUUGGCAAAUUGGGAUUAAAGAAGAAGACAGACACAAGACAGCAUUUGUGGUCCCCCACGGGCAUUAUGAAUGGAAUGUGAUGCCUUUUGGCCUAAAGAAUACACCGUCAGAAUUCCAAAACAGAAUGGAUGAGGUGUACAAAUCUAUCUCAGGAUUUUGCCUUAUCUACAUUGACGAUGCUCUUAUCUUCAGCAACAGUGAAGAAGAACAUGCUGAACACCUGUCCCAAUUCAAGGCACUAACCUAUAAACAUGGGUUAGCUUUGUCAGAAUCCAAAAUGAAGAUAGGCCUUGAUGAGGUGGACUUUCUAGGAUUACACAUCAAGCAGAGAUUCAUCAUUCCUCAGCCACAUAUAGCUGAAAAAAUAUCCCAAUUCCCAGACCAGCUGUCAACCAGAAAGCAGAUCCACCAGUUCCUCGGGAUAAUCAACUAUGCAGCAGACCAUGUGCAGGAUCUGUCAAAGAUGACGAGAGUCAGAUAUCAAAGCACUUAAAGAAGAGUGCCCCACAAUGGUCGGAAGACGCAACAAAAGCAGUGACAGACUUAAAGCAAAAGUGCCAGUCACUUCCACCAUUAAAGAUACCUGACAAGGGACAGCUCAUCCUCCAGACAGAUGCAAGUGACCAUUAUUGGGGAGCACUGUUGAUAGAGGAAUCCGAGGGAAACAGAAAAGUGUGUGGCUAUAAAUCAGGCCAGUUCAACGAUGCUCAAAGCCACUACCCCUCCUCCAAAAAAGAAGUCUUAGCAGUUGUCAAAGGGAUCAAAAACUUUCAAUUCUUUCUUUCACUAACUCCCUUUGUGAUUGAAACAGACUACAAAUACCUACAGGGAUUACUCAGGAGAAAAGAAGGAGAAAUACCAGAUCCACAGCUUGCAAGGUGGUCUGAGUCUCUCUCGAGAUUCAAGUUUGAAGUAAAGCACAUCAAAGGAGAAUCCAACACUGUUGCGGAUUUCCUUUCCAGACCGAUCACCAUGAUCAAAAGAAGAAGCCUUCCAAAAAGAUGGGACGAAGGCAGUUCUAGUGCUCACGCAGCCCGAGCACACUUUCUCAAAGAUCUUAACAUCUUCAUUGCUUGGCUUCCUUCGGAAGUUCAAGAUGACAUCUUUGAGAAAGUCAUCUGCCACAAAAGAGAUCCAGAAGAUCAAGCUCUGACAUGGCGGGUAUGGCAGCUCAUGGCCAUGCAGGAACACAGACCUGCCCAUAACAAACAAUGUCAAAGAGCUUUUGAUCCACAUCCAAAUCCUGACCAGAUGCAUGAAACGGUCUUCAAGGUCGGUUGCACCUUCCACUAUGUAAUAGACGAGAACUCCAACUGGGGUCACUAUGUUAUCUGCGAUAUAACCCCUCAAGCCUAUUACAUAACUUGGUACUGGCCCAACAUUUACCCAGUGGCAAUCCUGUUUGAACCACAUCUGAUCCAUACCAGCAGGAGAUAUGGGAAGGGAAGAUGGUUCGACCGAAUGUUCGCUCCUAUCUUCGAAGACAUCCUAACACUCCGGCUAAUCAACGGAUAUCACAUCACUCACUCUACUAUAGUGAUUGUGAAACUCACAGAUAUCUGGGGAAGAUACAAGCAGCCUCUUGUGCAGGUGGUCCAGCAUGACCUCAACCAUGAAGAAAUUGAUUCCAUGUGGACAGGCUGUUGGAAUGCUAGAAAAGCUUUAGCUGAGGUAUACGGAACUAUUCCAAUGUAUAAUACUCAUAGCCCCGUAUCUUCACAAGUCUGCAGUACUCCGGACCUCUACUACAGAGAGGAGAUCAGGAAUCUCAAGCUUCAUGGAGAAGAAGAUGAAGCAGCAGACUUGCAGCAGUGGUAUAAUGAUUACCUCACUCGCCAUGGCAGGCCAAAAGAAGUCACUUAUCUGGACACUCCAGAUAUUGAAAGAUGGAGGAACGAGCUUGAAGAAAUGGCCCAUUGGCUAGACCUCCAAGAUUGGCCCCAACCUGAGUUAGACCCCCAGCCGGAUAACAUUGAAGAUCCCAUAUGGCCAAAUAUGGGAGAAGAUAUGGAUGCAGCAUCCGAAGAACGAUGGAACCACAGGUCAGGACGUAGCACACCAACAAGUGGCAACUCUGGACUAUAGCGGAAGCUUAGUGGACCCUACAGUGGAAGCAAUGGUGAUAAUAAUAUAUGUAUUUGCAUUCGUAUGUAUUGUGUACCAUCCUUUGUGAUAAGGAUGAGAGUGUGAGUGUGACAUAAAGUAAGGAGUGAGUUGUAAAGUAGAUUCCUUAGAGAUAAGGAUCAAUAAUGACUACAGUGUGUAAUAGUGGUUCCCUUGUGCCUAUAAAAGGGAACCCUUGGUUUGUAUCUAGGCAUCGAGUCUUGGAGCCUAAAUCUAGUGUAUUGUAAAUCUCUCAUUCCUCUUAAUGAAGUAACCUUCCUCUGUUCUGAAAUAAACCCAUUUCAUGGUUAGACCAUUGACCUGAAUUAAUACCUUAAUGGCAUCUGUGAGAGAUGGCUUGUGUAUGUCAAGGGUGAAGUUGGGUUCAACUUGGAGAACAACAUGACCUUGGUUGAGUCCUGCUUCGACAGCAAUGAGAAGAAAAUGCACUUUUUGGAAUCUCAGGCUGAAGGAUUUUUGGUGCUUUAACUAAUCUCAUUUGACAAUGUAAAUAUAUGGCUUCAAUUUCUUUAAAUGUAAUAGCAAGUGUUGUUUUCGACCUCUGUUCUUUUAUGCAUUGCUUACAUGCCGUGAUUUCAUUAACCUAAAUUUAAGAACUGUUUGAGGGAAAUACAUCGAGGAGACCAGACGUGAUGAGCAGGUGUUUGGUGGUGGAGUUCUGCGAGCAGGAAUAUUCUCCUCGUCCACGAAUAUGCCAUUCGCGAGACCGAAUUCAUGUUAGAGGCAUAAGGUCAUUCCUGCUAAGGGUCGAGGCGAGGAGACCCGGUCAACGGCAGUUGGCAAGACGUGCCUUCCUAUCCGAGAAUCAAGGCACGAGGUCCAUCUCCAUUUGCCCACAAUGACGACAAUGGGGCAUCCACAUCCGAGGGUGGGGAGAAUAACGGGCGUAAACUGCGGAAGAUCGGGACUCAGAGGAAGCCUAUAAAAAGGUAGCCAACAAAGGUAAAAGGGUUAGAUUUUUUGCUAUUUGAACUAAGAAAAUAGAGAACUCGAAGGUCUGAGAUUAGUGAAAAGCCAUAAGAUCCGUGGCAAGCAUUCCCAGAACCUUCAUAUCUGACUUGAGCGUCGGAGGGUUUACGCCGGGAAAACAACCGGCGUGCUCUGACCUGUUUCUGUGGACGCAAGGAUACUUAGAGAAGAAAGCGUACGAGGAGAGAUCCUGAUCGAGGUGAGGUUGAUCGAGCAGACAUCCUGGUCGUUGGAAGGUGUAACCAGAAUCUCGCAUCAACAAGAACAAUUUCAUAUAAUUUUUUUUCUGCUUUUCUUUUAUCAUUUAAAAACAAUACUACGCACACACACACGCAUAUAUUUCAGAAAGCAUUUAAACAAAGCAACCGAACGUUGCUGGUUUCUAUUAUUACAUCGACAACAAUAAAGCAAAGAAGCAACUGAAAGUUAUCUUCAUAUGAGAAUGAAAGCUUUUCAGCAGCAUAAACCUUUCACUAUUCAAUUCCAAACAUGUUCCUCAACAUGAUAACAAAUUCGUAGACCUUUUCUAGGUCUAGAAGGAUCCUGGCAACAGUAUCUCUUUGCAUGCACUUGUUCAUCCAUGCUGAGAAUUUGGGGCACUCAUUCUCAAGCUUAAAUCCCCCAAAUUUCUCAACCGCGUAAAACCAACAAGUCAGUGGAAUGGAAAUGACAUCAACGAAUCCAAAGCUAUCCCCGCCAAAGAAAUCCUUCUCCCCUAAAGCGCCCUCAAGUUGCUUCAAAAUCUCUAUAAAUUCAUUCUUCGCGGUCUCUGGGACCUCGCCCUUGCUUUUCCAUAUGUUGCAUACUGCAUCGAAUACCUGCCAAAAAAGUGGUGUCAUCUUUUAAGUUCACAUUUAGAAAGAUACAAACAUUUACACUUGAGAAUUAUAGACUGACCUUCUUGUCAAUAAAAUCUUGCCUUAGCUCUCUCAUAAGCACAGGAUGGGAGAAGUGGUGGCGAAGGCCAAGUCUCGUCAAUGUAGUUAACUAUAAUAGUGGAUUCACACAAUGGUUUCCCAUCGUGCAGCAAAACUGGGACUUUCUUGUAGAUGGGUUUGAUUUGAGCAACAGGUCACUCUUGCCCCCAAACAAGUUCUCAGCUCUGGCUUCAUAUUCAACUCCUUUCUCAGCCAAUGCAAUCUUUGCUCUCAAGCAAAAUGGGCUAGCCCAACAAUCCAAAAGAACAACCUCUCCCUUCGACAUAUUCACUUUCUUUGUUCUUGUUUCUUUUACUUGGUUGAUAGUAAUUAAACCUUGAGUAUCAAGGUUGGCAUUUAUAAAGGAUAAAAGAUGAAAUUCCCAAAGUUUGUGUCGCAAUCAACGUUUGUUCGUUGGCACUUCCUUAAAGGAUGUGGCAUUAUUCUUAUCAUUUCUUAGUUUUUGAAGCUAACUGUUUUACUUGGCUUUCAACAUGCACAAGAACAAGUUUGUCUUGUGCAUACGGAGUUUACUAUGGACAAGCCGAAUUGUAAGUAACCAUUUACACUAAUCAAUCGGUAUUGUCCAAUGAAAAUAAGUAAUGUAAACUUAUCAAAAAAAAAAGUAAUGUAAAAAGUGUCUAGGAUUUUGCCUAAUAUUUCUUAAAAUAGGCUAAUUAAGCCCAAUUCUGGUGCUAGAUUGGUUCAACUUUGAAUCAAACUUGGAAACAUUUUGCUUUAGAUUAUUAUUAUUAAUUUAGAAGAGUCAAAAAGCUAAGAGUAUCGUUGGUAAAGCUCAAACAUGUGUAAUAUCACAUAUUACUUCUUUUUUUUUUUUAUACAAGUAAUAUCACAUAUUACUAGUGAGUGAGUUUCAUAAACUUUCCUAUUGAAAAAGACACAUUUUGGGUUGUAAAUCCUAACACAAUAUUUAUUCAGUUGUUGAGCCUGAAAUAUUACAGAUAUAUCAAAUAUUAUUUGAUGUGGGCGCACAACCCUGCGUCUUCUUAAUUAGGACAACCAAUGAAACCCUGCGUCUUCUUACAUAACUUGUAUGUACACAUUGGCGGGAUAUCCCAAUUAUGUACUCGUUUGUCUUCAUGUGUUUUAAAAAAAUCUAUUGUAAUGGAUAUAUUGUAAAUUUAUCUAAUUGCUUGUUAUAAUGCUUCUAUUGCGGUGUUAUUCGAGCUGUCAUUUUCAGUUUUAUUUUGUUUUUUCUUUAAACAUAGUUAAUUUGAAAUCCAUUACACUUGAAUCAUCAAAUAAGUGAUUCUCGAACAUAAUUGCUGUUGUUACUCGAAUAAGAAAAGAAAACAAAGUAUAGCUAAGAUAAAAGCAAAUGGAAAUGAGAGCAACGUGAUUUUGCAAAGAGAACUUCACACUAUCAUAAAACCAAAAACAUUAAAAUUUAAAACUUAAAUAACAACACACCAAAGCCAAAUAACGACCCACUAGAAUCAUGGUCCAAAGAUUGUACCAUGAUCACAACAUGAACUACAAAAAAAUAACCAACACCUGAAAAGUAGGAACAGUUUGAAACUUUCAACUAAAGUGGGAAAGACCAGGAUGGCACUGCAUGCCCAGCCCACCAACAUUAAAUGCUUUUUUCCCUUAUAAUUUAUCAGUCACAUAAUUUAGAGUGAAGACUUUAAUGCUGUGUUUACUUGCUGGAGUGGGAGUGAGGAGUGUGGAUUCCUCCCACUCCAGCGUUUACUUUCUCUGAAUGGGAAGGGAGUGGGAAUUCCACUCCGUGGGCCCCACCCAUUUUUGGAGUGGGGAGUGGGAGUGGGACUCCCAUAUUCCCACUCCCACCUCUCCCUUUUUUACCCUUUUAUUUUUUUAAUUUAAUUUAAUUUAAUAUUUUAUAAUUAAUAAAAUAAAAUAAAUAUUAUUAUAUUUAUUUGAAUAAUAAUAUUAUAUUUAACUAAAUAAUAAUUUGCAUUGAUUCUAAGUUAAAAUUAUUUUAAAAUAAUAUUAUUAUAUUAAUAGAGAAUUAAUAAAUAUAAUAUUAUUAUAUUUAUUUUAAAAAUAAUAGUACUAUAUUUAUUUAAUAUUAAUAAAUAGUUUAUUCUAAGAAAAUAUUAAUUUUGUACUAAAUAAUAUUAUAUUAUUAUUUUAUAUAAUAAUAAAUUUAAUAUAAUUAUAUUAAAUAAAAUAAGGUUUCAUUUUGUAUUAAAAUUAAUAAUUUAUUGUUGAUAAUUAAGAAUAUUAAUAAUUAUAAUAAAUUUACAAAUAUAAUAAAAUAAAUAUUAUUCAUUAAAUAUAUUUUUUAUUAGUUUUGUAAUUAAAAAUUAUAAUUCUUUAAAUAAGAAUAAAAUUGUAAUUUGAAACUAUUUACUCCCAAUCCAAGACAAAGUAAACACAUAAAUUGGAUUUUGAUCUCUAUUCCAUGCUUCCAUUCCAGUGUAAGUAAACAACCUACUCUCACUCCCACUCCACACUCUCAAUCCUAGGAUUUCCACUCCUCAGGAUUCCCAAUCCAAUCCAAAAAGUAAACGCUACCUAAAAGCAAAUAAAUGAAUUGGCUGAAUCUAGCUAGGAUGCCAGGAUGGGCACGGAUCCACAGAUAACAAGUAACAGUCUUUAAAUCUUCUGUUGUAAGUUCUUACGCCCCUUUUUUUUUAUACGACGAACCCCCGAUUCUACCCUCCAAAAUCAACAAUAGAGAAUUUAGUCUUAGCCUCUCAAGAUGCACUCAAACCUAAGGAUGGCAAUGGAUCAGAUCUGACCCAAGAUCCAUGUGAUCCAAAUCCAAUUGGAUCGAAUUUGGGUCGGAUUAAAAUAGAUUUGGAUCGGAUUUGGAUAUCGAUGCGUGGAUCUAAGGCGGAUCUGGAGCAAAUUCAGAUUUAUCUUAAUAUCUAUAUCCAAAUCCAUAUCCACUCACCAUUUAAUGUAAUUUUAUUUUAAAAAAUUCUUAACAAUUAUGUAAUUAUAAAUGAUGAUAAAAUUUAUUCAUUAGCAUGUAUUUAAGAAUCUUAAAACUUAAAGGUACUUAAUUGAUAAUAAGAUAAAAAUUUAUCAAGUGUAAAAUAAAAUUAGGAUAGUCUGCCCUAAUUUUUUUAAGUUUUUCACUCUACAAUUUAGUCUCUUUUUUCCUCUUUAGUCUACUCUCGCUUCUCCACUUCAUUUGAAUGCUUGGAUCAGUUCUUUAAUUGUUAGGAAAAUCCAUAGACUUGAGUUUAUUUUUCUAUCAUUUUCUCAUAAUCUUAUUUAUUUUGUAUAAUCACUAAUCAAUGGUGGCUAUCAACUAUAAAAUAAUUAUGUUAAUCAUAUAUUUAGUUAAAUAUGAUCAUAAUAAAAAUAAUAAAGCACUGAAUAUAAUAAAUCAUUUUUAACUUAUAUGUUAUUAUUUAAUGAUAUAGGAAUGAUGAUGGUGUGCAGUGGAUAUCAAGAUAGUAAAUGAGACAUUAGAAUAUUAUAAUGAUCUUAUUCAUGCAAUUACUUUUUAUCGAUAUUUUAUUAUCUUUUUUAUUUGUUUAUUUUGGUGUAAAAGCAGAAGCUACAAUACUUAUUAGAUUUUUUGUACAAAUUAUAUAAUUUAAUUGUUACCAAUGCAUUUUAGUCUUAAAUUUUUUUUCUAAAAAAAAUUGAUCUCUUAUUAUUGAGAUUUAGAAUUCAUGAUGGAUCUAGAGCAUAUUUAGAUUGUAAUUUUUCAAUUUGGAUUUGGAGCAGAUAUAGAUCUUUAUUUUUGUUUCGAAUCUAGAUAUGGAGCGAAAAUAUAGAUCCAUAACGGAUCUGGAGCAGAUACAGAUCUUAAUUUUUAUUACGGAUCUGGAUAUGGAGCAAUGUAGAUCCAAUCCAUAUCUGCUCCAUUGCCAUCCCUACUCAAACCUUGAGUAUGGUUUUUACUUACGUAUUAUCGAUUAUGAUUUUAACUAAUCUCUCUUGUCAACGAACUUUUGGUUGAUUAUGGACGCCUUUUUUUUUUUAAUCUAAACAAUAUAAGAUUUCGUACAAAUUGAAUUUGUAUAGACCUCAUCAUUUGGAACUUGUGUUGUAUCCAAAAAUAUCACCCAACCCAAAGAAAAUAAGUUCAAUUCUAUAACUCAUUCAUUUUUCUUAUAGCCCAAUGGAUUGAGAGAAUAGGCGUCAGAGGAAACUUUAUUUCAAUAUAUAAAUAUAGGCUUGCAUACAAUGCAAAAUCAUAUAUUCGAACCAAUAGGCGAAGCAUUGUCCCUCGUUGAUCCACAUGAGCCAACUAGUCAAAGUGGAUCCACAUGAGCCACUUUACAGACUGGGCAUGCAUUGCAACUGUUCAUUUUUGCUUCUGCCAAUAAAGAGUUGAUAGUAACCAAAGAUUGUAUUCUUUAUUGUCAUUUGAGAGUAACCAAUUACUUAGGCAGUCACGUAAGUUGCUGGUUGGCCUCGCACAUUUUUGACCAGCUUGUUUCUGAAGGAAACCAGCUGAGCUGCAACCUCUUCCAUGCUCAUUCGUUCUCUCGGCAACUCUGAAGAGCAAGUGACUCCGAUUGCCAGUACUGAAACCAAGCACUCUUUAACACUAAAACUUCUGGUCCAUUGUUUGUGAGCAUUGGCCUUGCUUGUCUCCCCUUCUUCUCUUUCUACAAGAAGCACUGGAUCAACAAUUUCAGCGAGUCUUUCAGGAAGAGCUUCCUUGACAAAAUUAUGUAGGGUUAGAUUGCCUGUAAACAUCUCAUUCGUCGGCCCCUUUCCUGUAAACAUUUCCAGCAAGAGUAUUCCAAAACUGUACACAUCUCCACUUGUUGAGACUUCGCUCCCCAUUCCGUACUCUGCAAUUCGAAAACUAAAAUUGUUGGUUCAACUAGUAAAAUCUCUAAGGAUUGAAAGACAAGUUAAUUAAAUUAUUGUAUUUACCUGGUGCAGCAUAACCAACGGUUCCUUUUACUCCAACAGAGCUUGAUUGAUUAGAUGACAAGUUAUUGGUGGCUUCCGGAAGGAAUUUUGCUAAUCCAAAAUCACCUACAUGGGCAGUCAAUUCACCAUCCAGAAGAACAUUGCUUGGCUUGAGAUCACAAUGGACUAUUGGAGUUUCGCAAUAAUGAUGAAGAUAAUCCAAUGCGGAAGCAACAUCAACGGCAAUAUUCAGUCUUUGCAGGAGAUUUAAGUUCCUUGGUGCCUCAGCGUUCGGAUGCAACCAUUCCUCCAGGCUCCCGUUGACCAUGAACUCAUAAACUAAAGCCUCGAAAUCAUUUCCUUGGAAGUCAACACUUGCACAGGAAGUUAUUAUUUUGACAAGAUUCCGAUGCCUAAUACUCCUCAAGGCUUGACACUCCGCUAUGAAACUCUUUGAAGCUCCACGAUGCUGAAGAUUAAGUACCUUAACUGCCACCAGCGUUUCAUGAUCAUCGUGACUGAGGAUUCCUUUAUAGACCGAACCAAAGCUACCGGCACCAAUCAAGUUUUCCAAAGAGAACCCAUCAGUUGCUUUGAACAGAUUCUCAUAGGACACUCGUAAAACCGAAGCCAAGAAUGCUGAUGGAGUGGCCGGCUCCCUUUUUGAUUUGCUCCGCCAGGAAGUAAUUAUAAAACACGACAUCCCUGUCACUAACAAAAUUACUGUAACUACAGGAAUCAUCAGUUUCAGGGAACGGGAACGUGACUGCUUGGAUUCUUUGAUGGAACAAGUAGAUAAAUGCAACUCAGAUAUGCCACCACAGAGGUUAUCAUUUCCAUCAAGAGAUAUAGCACUUGAAUUGCUGAAGACUCCUUUUACUGGUACUUCACCCUCAAAAUGAUUAAAAGACAGAUUUAAAUUCUGCAAAAAGGGAAAGUUUUCCAAAUAUUUUGGAAUCCGGCCGGACAAAUUGUUCCGCGAAAGAUCAAGAUUCUCAAUGCCUCUCAAAGAACUGAAUGACGAAGGUAUAUUCCCUUGAAAGAAAUUACCAUUCAUGAUGAGUUGCACCAACAAAAUGCAACUUCCUAAACUACUUGGAAUUUCACCAGACAAUUUGUUCUCAGAUAUAUCUAUAAAACCCAGAUUUUUCAAGAUACCAAAAUUUGAGGGCAUAGGACCAUUCAACUGGUUUUGAGAUAGAUCAAGAUAGAUUGACAAGGAAGAGAGGCCAAUUACUUCAGUGGGUAUGGUACCACUGAGGUUGUUAUUAGAAAGAUUUAAUGAUAUUAAGUUUUGGCAUUUCCCCAGACUUGAUGGAAUGCUUCCCUCUAACAUGUUUUCCUCAAAAUUUAGUGUAGUUAACAAUGUCAAAUUUCCUAUAGAAGAUGGAAUUUCCCCCCAAAACUUGUUCCCCUUCAGGCCCAACCUCUGCAGCUUUUGAAGAUCUCCUAUACUUUCCGGAAUUCGGCCUGUGAAUUUGUUGCCCCCCAGAUGUAAAAGCUCCAAGUUAACAAGAUUUCUUAAUCCACUUGGGAUAUUUCCGAACAACUGAUUGUUUCCAACUGAUAAUAUUGCAAGUCGGUUUGACAAGUUCCCUACUGUUUCAGGUAACAUUCCACCAAAAUUGUUAUCACUAAUUUGCAGUAGCUCUAGUCUAGAAGCGUUAACCAAAGAAUUGACAAAUUCCAAGUUAUCUUUUUCCCCAUAAUUUCCUAAGUGAUUCUGAGAAAUACUAACCCAUUGGAGUUUAUGUAAAUUUUCCAAACUAGGCACCCUUCCACUGAAUCCAUUCUUUGCGAUUGUAAGUCUCAUUAGAUUUGAGGCAUUGGAUAUUGAAGCCGGAAUAGGUCCGGUAAACUGAUUACCACCAACGUUUAGUACUUCAAGUUUAGGAAGAGUGAAGCCUAAGUCUGAUGGAAGGCUUCCUUGAAGUUGGUUAAAAGGAAAAUAAAAACCACUAAGCCAAGACAAGUUGUAGAUUGAAAAGGGGAUUUCACCUGAUAGCUUAUUUGCUCCAAACGAUAUAUAACGCAUCAUCUUAAGCUCGCUCAGGGUUUCAGGAAUUUGUCCCACAAAUUGAUUUGCAGCUGCUGAGAGGACCUGGAGUGAUGACAAAUUGCCGAAGGAAGGUGGGAUUUCUCCUGACAAAUUGUUGGAGUGUAUUACGAGAAUCCGGAGCUUUGGUAAGGAGCCCAGUUUCCCUGGAACUUUCCCCACUAGCUCAUUGAAGUCUAACCAGAGGGAUUCAAGGUUAACGCAAUGCGAUAUGUUGUCAGGAAUUUGACCUCCGAAUGUAUUGUUGUCCAGCCUUAAAAUUCGUAACCUGAACAGAUAUCCAAUCGCUUGAGGGAUUUCGUUGCGGAGGCUAUUGUUUUUUAGAUCUAACACUCUGAGAAAACUCAAAUUACCAAUGUGAGGCGAAAGAGACCCCUGCAAGAGUAAAGAUGGAAGACGUAAUCCAGUCACCCUUUGGUGCCGUCGACUGCAAGUGACACCUUUCCAUUGACAAAAGUGCCUGGAAUAGUUCCAUGAACUCAAAACCUCAAGAGGGUCAUGAGUAACUUUGGCCUUGAAUUCAAGCAAUGCAAGUUGAUCAGUUUCAUUGCUUUUGAGCAUAUAAUCGGUUGACUGCAAGCUGAAGCUGACGCAACAGAAAAUAAAGAAACAAAUGCUUACAAUGAUUGAACUCAUCAUGUUUACAAAAUCCAUUUAACUGCCGAAAGGAAAUUAAAAUGAUAAAACUUUUAUAGAGGUUGGUAAGAUAAACUAUGUUUGUAUAUUUUUUGCAAUGAUUUAUGGACUCUGUACUUGAUGCUCAAAUGUGAACCGGCUGGCACCGUGACAGUGAAACUAAUGCUUUUUAUUUUUCUAAUAAUAUUAAUUAUCAAAUUUAUUACUAUUGUAAGAAUAAUAUAAUACAGCUUUUCCUUUAAGGAAGACCCGCCACACUAACUUUUGACGCUCUAUCAGUUUCCAGUAUUUUGUCAUUUUGUAUUGUAGUGCUUAAUCCACAAUGAAUAUAAAACAAUUUAAUCAACAUUAUUAGAAAAAGAAAAAAAGUAGGAGAAGAAAGUUAAGUAUGAUGGAUGGAGGGUCAGAUUACUGUUAAAUGACUUAAAGGUUUAAAGCACCACAGGAAUCAACGUUUCACAACGCUUUUUUCCCUUUCUGAAAUAUUCGGUGCAUUAGUUGACUAGAAUUAUAAUAUAUCAAACAACUACAAGAAAUAUUUUAAUUUAUCAUUUUACUAUUAUAUAUUUACAUAACUUAUCAUUUUACUAUAUUUCCGUAGUACCAUUAGUUGACUAGAAAAAUGUUAAUUUUACUUUUGAAAAAAAACACAAAUGGAUAUAUUAAAUAUUUUUAGCUACUUUUUAUUUUGAAUUUAUAAUGUUGUAAUACUUUGUGUUAUUAUUACUUUUUAUUUUGCAAAAACAAAUUAUAUAAAGAGAAAAAUUAAUAUUUUAUCAAUUAACUAAUUGAUCUAUAUUAAUUGAAAUAUAAUAAAUUAAUAUUUUAUCAAUUAACUAAUUGAUCUAUAUUAAUUGAAAUAUAAUAAAAUAAUAUUUUAUUUUUAAAUAUAAUAAAAUAAUUUUCCCAUGAAAGAAAAUGAUGAGUUGUUUCAACGUAAUGCAGCUGCCUAGACUACAUGGAAUUUCACCAGGCAAUGACAAUUUAUUCUCAGAUAAAUCUAACGCCACAACAUUUAUCUAGUCACCCAAAUUUGCAGGCGUUCGUUUUGAGACUUGUCAAAACUUUUUCCAAAAAUUCGGGAUUCAGGUCAUAUCAGGCCGGUUAUGUUUUGAAAAACUUGUAAAUUAUCAGUGAUCAAACUUCAAAACUUUGCAAAUAGGUCAAAAUACGGAAAAAAACUUGAUAUAUUAUUGAAUACUCAUUUUGUUUUGCAUUAAUAUAACGCUAUGGGUGAUAUCUAGUUCUGUUGGUAAAAUUUCUUGGGUUGAAAACAAGAAAACUAGCAUUUCAAACUCACUCAUAUGGAUGGGAAAGAAAUUUAGUUAUUAUUGGAUUAAAAAAUAAUAAUGAGAAUUAGAAAAAAAUUAUAAGGCUUCAACGAGAUUUGCUAAUCAUGUAUAGAUUAAUAUGGAGAUUAAGAACAUCACCUAAGCUAAUUAUUGAACUUGAAAGUUUAGGAGAAAAAAUUAUAUGGGUUUGGCCAUCAAUUUAGCAUUCGGAACUUAUUGUUUAGGAAGCUACGGCGGGUUUCGUAGUGGGACUUAUCCUCUUUAAUGCAUAUGGUGAUUUUAAACCAACAUAUAUAUAAUCCUAUUAUAAAACUCAUCAAACCUUCUAAAAUAACAUGUUGAGAUAGUGUGCUAGAUCCAUAUAAAUAUUUCUCCAACUUCUUAGCUUGAAGCGAUAUUCAUUUCCAUUGAUAGUUUAAUGGGCAAAGCCUUUUGAAUUCUCCAUGUUAUCAAGUUAACUUUUGCUGGAAAAUGCAAUGCGGAUAUGAAUAGAAUUUUUUGUGCAAACAAUUUUUCUAUGUUGACACAUCCUCUGGAACUUUCAGUAAAUUUUAUGGAGAAGCUUCAAUUUCUUGGUUGUUGAUUUCGAAUACAUUAAGCUCUUAUUUGGUAUUAAAGUAUUGUGGGCUAAAAGCUAUAGUUUUUAUGGAAAGAAAUUUGUAAUUGCGAAAUAAAAGUUGAUUCAGUGUGAUAAAUAUAAUUUCAGAAUAAAAAAUAAAGUAAACUUCGAAAUUAUAAUAGUAAGUAUUUAUUAAAUACUUUAGUGUUGCAGUAACUGUUUACUACAAUAUCAAAUAGGGGGCUAGUACAACAAGUUGUUAUAUUAAAAGUCUCCCAAAAAGGAAGAAGUGACUUAAAAAAUUAAAAGAAUGCAGGAGCUGAAGUUGGCAAUUUUGUAAAUUGCAAUGGCGAUUGUGAUAUAGUAAAAUCCUUCAAUGAAUCACAGCACUAGCGAUUUCGUAAUAUACAGUAGCGGCAAUUUUGUAAAAUUGAAGUAGUGAUAGUUUUGCAAAUAAAAGUAAAAACUUUUUCCCAAAAUUUGGCUGAGCAAAAAGCCAGCUUAGCCCACACUCUCCUUCGCCACUGGUUGAUGAGCUCUUCCUUCAAUUUUUGAACUUGAAGUGAUGCCCCAUCAACGUCCAGAAUUUUUAAAGUCUCCCCACUGUACAAGUUAAACAAUAAAGUCAGAAUGAUGACGGAGUUACAAACAAUCAAAUAUGAUCCUAAUGAUUCUUUUUAUACACUCACCCGUGCAUUGAUGUGUUUAAUUGAUAUAUAUUUAAGCAGAAAUUGAAGUUUGAACCUGAUUAAUUAGAUGCGAACACACAUUCAUGAGUAAUUACUUAAAAUUAAUUAACCAAAAGAGUAAAUAUAGGAGGAAAUCGAUCAUAUGCGUGCGGACACCACAAUCGAAUUAUAUAUUUAUAUCACCACAGCACAUAAAUUUUAUUCGAAUGAUAUAUGAUUAAUUAAUCAAUUUUUAAUAACAAUUAAAUUAUAAUGUCAAUUGUGCACAUAAGAUUUUUUUUCUUGAUGAAAUUAUGAAAGUUAGUAAUUAUUUUCCAUUUUUUAAAUAAUAGUUGUUAAUACAAAUCAAAAAAAUAUUGGGACUUGAGAUCAGGGUCUACUUGAGUUAGAAUUUUUUAUUAGAGAAGCUAUUAGCCAGCAAUACAAAAUAAAGAAGCAACACAAGAUAAAGAGUAAUAUAUUAUAGAAAGAUUUUAUUCGUUUCAAGUGUGUAUCAAACAAAGAGAUAUUUAUAGUUACAUAAUUACUACAUGAAAUUAAUGAAAACAUUAUGGAUCAUACUUCCUUGCGAGAUAGUGAAAGUUAUAGAGAAGGCAAAGGUUGCUAGUGGAAGAUAGUAGAGAGAUUAAGAGAUGUAUGUUAUAAACAUCCAGAUUUAUUUUAAUAAAUUCAUAGCAUUUUUUCCCCUCAAAUAAUAGGGUGUAGAGAACAAUUGGAAGGAGUUUACGCAGCCUAUAAAUUAAUACUCUGACGAAUUAAUAUCCUCUAUUAUAUAAUGACUUUUUUUAAGCACACUAAUAGGCUAAAAUGACAGUUCCAA
rnacentral:lncRNA from 1 species